AAAGAUUUAGUUUAAAAAAAACAUUAAAUUGUCAAAUUAAAAUUAUUUAUUAAUAAUCUUUU
rnacentral:tRNA from 1 species